GAGUUUGAACCUGGCUCAGGACGAACGCUGGCGGCGUGCCUAACACAUGCAAGUCGAACGGAGAUACGCGCUGAAUGGAUGGAGCUUGCUUUUGAAAUUCUUGUGUAUCUUAGUGGCGGACGGGUGAGUAACGCGUGAGCAACCUGCCUUUCAGAGGGGGAUAACGUUUGGAAACGAACGCUAAUACCGCAUGAGACCACAGUACUGCAUAGUACAGUGGCCAAAGGAGCAAUCCGCUGAAAGAUGGGCUCGCGUCCGAUUAGAUAGUUGGCGGGGUAACGGCCCACCAAGUCGACGAUCGGUAGCCGGACUGAGAGGUUGAACGGCCACAUUGGGACUGAGACACGGCCCAGACUCCUACGGGAGGCAGCAGUGAGGGAUAUUGGUCAAUGGGGGAAACCCUGAACCAGCAACGCCGCGUGAGGGAAGACGGUUUUCGGAUUGUAAACCUCUGUCCUCUGUGAAGAUAAUGACG
rnacentral:rRNA from 1 species